CUGCGGUCCAACCCACUGCGCCACCGCACCCCCUAAUUAUCUCCUUCUUCUCGCUGUUUGCGGAACAACAUUGACAUCGAGCCUUGGACACUUCCAGAUUCUGCGUCAUCGAAGCCUAAGGCUGCUGCGGCAAGUCCAGCGACCCGACCGCGACGGUCUCCCCCGAGGGACGGCCGAGACGAAGGACGGCGGCGAACACGAGCGUCCCGGGGACGCCGACGCCGCGACUGCGUCAGUGGAUUUGGCUGUCGAGGGUGGGGCCAAGAGAUGGUCCCGCCCAAGACGGUGCCAGUUCCGGUGACCAGGAAAGAACAGAGGCGAGGAAAAAAAAAAAAAGAAACAAGGCGGUAAGAUGAAACGAUCGGUCAUCUGUGAAAUGCUGCCUUGUUUCAGCUCCUCUCUGUCGCAAAGUGUAUUUGGACUCUUUACUACAGCGUAUCGUGGUAACCAGGCUGGUGAGGACAGAUAAGAGCAGGACAGUGCUAAGGGGUCAAACCUCUGUAGCCUUCGAGCGCCUGGACCUGCUAUAAAUAAAUGUUGUUUUCCUGCCUCUGGA